rnacentral:rRNA from 1 species
AGAGUUGAUCAUGGCUCAGAACGAACGCUGGCGGCAGGCUUAACACAUGCAAGUUGAACGGGAUUGCUAGUGCUUGCACCAAGCAAUGAGAGUAGCGCACUGGUGAGUAACACGUGGGAACAUGCCUUUUGGUGGGGGACAACAGGAGGAAACUUCUGCUAAUACCGCAUAAGCCCUGAGGGGGAAAGAAUUUUUGCCGAAAGAUUGGCCCGCGGAAGAUUAGGUAGUUGGUGGGGUAAAGGCCUACCAAGCCGACGAUCUAUAGCUGGUCUGAGAGGACGAACAGCCACAUUGGAACUGAGACACGGUCCAGACUCCUACGGGAGGCAGCAGUGAGGAAUAUUGGGCAAUGGAGGAAACUCUGACCCAGCCCAUGCCGCGUGAGUGAAGAAGGUUUUCGAAUUGUAAAGCUCUUUCGGAUGUGACGAUGAUGACGGUAACAUCUAAAGAAGCCCCGGCAAACUUCGUGCCAGCAGCUGC